GCUGCUGGCUCUGUAAUGCACUGUGAGCAAAGGACGAGAAAGAAAGAGGGAGAGAGGGAGUCACACACACACUCUGUCUCUUGCACGCACACACACAGAAACUGAGAAGUGUCUUGCUUGGGAGAUUGAGAGACACAUGCACGCACUCUCACUCUCUCACACAUGCACACACACACACACACAGGGGGAGUGGUGAACGCAGGCUCCGGUGCGUUUUGAAGCAGCAGUGAGAGUAAGAGAGAGGACUAGCCAGUACAGAGGACAGACGACUCUUAAGCUUGAACGGACCGUCACCUACCUACCAGCCCCCAGCCGAUGAGCCACAGCCACUGCCACAGCACCGUGAUAAAAGGGGUUAUGCCAGGAGAGCUUGAAAGGAAGGGAAGAUCCAGCUCUCCGUCCGUCCAUCUGUCCGUCCGUCCGCCUCUUCAUCCUCAACCCCCUUUUUUUGGGAGCCGGUAUCUCAGGUCGGACUGUCCCAUUUUGAAUUCUUCCUUUUCUCUUGUCAUUCUCUUGUUUUGAUGGCGGGAUGUUAAAGAUCAGGUGAAGAAAGGAGGAGCUACAUUGUGGACGUCUGCCAGGUCAUGUCGUUUAUACAUUUUUUGUUUGUUGUUUAUUCAACGAUCCCUCAUUUGUCCUCCUCCUGACUGAAUUAAAGAGUGUGUGUGAGACGCAGGACUGGAGCCUAUGAGGACUUUGAGACUCAUCUGUUUUGAUAUGAUCCGGUCGUCAGGCAAAUUCUUUCCUAUCCUGACGGAGCUGUAUCAAAGUUAGCUGGAGCUCAAGGGAGAGGAGGGGGCCGUGGGGAGGGCCUGGGGCCCACAACAGAGCACCCGCAUUGGGACACAUGCAGAGAGGGACACUGGCAUAGUGGUUCUUCUCACCCACUGUUUUCUGUGUACAGGAAAAUGACAACAGUAGUUUUCUAUUGUUCUGUUGCCAUGUUGACGGAGGGACAGUGACAUACCAGGGCAACACCUGAACAACAACAACGGUAACAGCAAGGACAGGCAACAGCCAUAUCUAAAAGACAACAACAGGUAAACCACCAGUGACAGCAACAAUGCACUGCAUCUAACCAAACCUCAAUCAGCCAACACCUGAUAACUUUGGGUGGGCCUUUGACAAGGACCCCACCCCUCCAUCUCUCCAUCCCCCUCUCUCCCUGCUGUGGUGUCCUUCUCCCUUCAUCCUCCAGCGAGAAUCCCCUAGUGACCCCACUCUGCUACUAUAUUUAUCCAGAUAUUGUUGACAUUAUAUUGACAUUUAUAUGUCAAUCUAGGCAAGUUUGCUCAAAGGAUUCUGGGUAAUCACCCCGGGCGGUGCUCCAUCGCCCUGGGUGAAAGGGCAGGGGGGCGGCCCACGGUUCCCCCCGACCACAACCGGGUGAAGAGCGGGCGCGGGCAGCAAAAUGGCGGCUCUCGCCAGCUCGUUGAUCCGCCAGCGGCGGGAAGUGAAGGACCCCCAGGCCAACCGGCAGGUGGCCAACAAGAGGAAGCCGUGCCCCAAGGCCAACAAGUCCCUGUGCCAGAAACAGAUAUUAUUACUCAUUUCAAAAGUCCGACUAUGUGGCAAUCGAGGCCGAAAAUUAGAAAAAAGACCGGGACUACAAGCUGGCGAGAUCUAUUUUGAGUGGGGGACUGAAAGUGAAUGAAUGGUGCCACGGGCCUCACCUACACUGGACCUGAAAUGUUUCUCACAACUUUGACAGCUUUGUCAUUGAGAUCAGGACAACAAUAUUAAGGACGCUGGUGGACUGUCAGCUCUCAGAACUUAGUGAAGAGGACGACACUGUAGACAUGUCACCUGUGCACCAGGCAGUCAAUGGAAGGUGUCUCCAAGGUGCCAAGGACAGACAGGGGCUAGAGAGACUGGACAACAUGCUGCUGAGUCUGCAGACAGGGCUGAGGGACAAUCAUACCCUCACAGCCCAGAUAGAAACAUAGGAAGGAGGAUAUGACGUGGUUUGUUUGUGUUGCGCCAGGAUGCAAGGGCAAGCAGUAAUGCAUUGUGGAGGACCUACAUUGUUUUAGGUUGUGGUACUCCAUUGAGUGUGACUCAUUGCAGACAUAGGGACUAGUAAAGGGACACCUAGUCCUCACCCAGUAGCUUAGAUUGUCACUAGUCAUUUUGACUCCCUUGCAUGCUUUUAAUUUGUUCCCAUUCUGACUCUUCAUGUAUUAGGCUAUAAGCAUAGUGGAAUGCAUUUGGCUAUUGGCAUUGUGUAUUAGGCUAUAGGCCUAGUGUGUACAGAAAAAAUAGAUGUUUUAAAGCCAAAUAUUCUUAUUAUAUGCCUUAUUCUUAUCAUAUUUUGUCAUUCAAAUUUUCUAUGUAACUUGCACUUUGUUUUCAGGUUUGAGUGAGACGAUGUAUUCCCUGCAAUAAAGUACUUUCAAUAAAGUUCUUGAUUUAUUAAUAUUA